AUACGGAGGAUGCAAGCGUUAUCCGGAUUUAUUGGGUUUAAAGGGUGCGUAGGCGGAUUGCUAAGCGGGUGGUGAAAUGCCGGCGCUCAACGUCGGAAGUGCCUCCCGAACUGGUGGACUUGAAUGACUCUGCCGUGGGAGGAAUGUGUAGUGGAGCGGUGAAAUGCUUAGAGAUUACACAGAACACCGAUUGCGAAGGCAUCUCACGAAGGGUUGAUUGAGGCUGAGGCACGAAAGCGUGGGGAUCAAACAGGAUUAGAUACCCUGGUAGUCCACGCAGUAAACGAUGAUGGCUAACCGCUGGUUUUUUCGGAUCAGUGGCCAAGCGAAAGCGAUAAGCCAUCCACCUGGGGAGUACGACCGCAAGGUUGAAACUCAAAUGAAUUGACGGGG
rnacentral:rRNA from 1 species